CCUAACACAUGCAAGUCGAACGGUAACAGGAAGAAGCUUGCUUCUUUGCUGACGAGUGGCGGACGGGUGAGUAAUGUCUGGGAAACUGCCUGAUGGAGGGGGAUAACUACUGGAAACGGUAGCUAAUACCGCAUAACGUCGCAAGACCAAAGAGGGGGACCUUCGGGCCUCUUGCCAUCGGAUGUGCCCAGAUGGGAUUAGCUAGUAGGUGGGGUAACGGCUCACCUAGGCGACGAUCCCUAGCUGGUCUGAGAGGAUGACCAGCCACACUGGAACUGAGACACGGUCCAGACUCCUACGGGAGGCAGCAGUGGGGAAUAUUGCACAAUGGGCGCAAGCCUGAUGCAGCCAUGCCGCGUGUAUGAAGAAGGCCUUCGGGUUGUAAAGUACUUUCAGCGGGGAGGAAGGGAGUAAAGUUAAUACCUUUGCUCAUUGACGUUACCCGCAGAAGAAGCACCGGCUAACUCCGUGCCAGCAGCCGCGGUAAUACGGAGGGUGCAAGCGUUAAUCGGAAUUACUGGGCGUAAAGCGCACGCAGGCGGUUUGUUAAGUCAGAUGUGAAAUCCCCGGGCUCAACCUGGGAACUGCAUCUGAUACUGGCAAGCUUGAGUCUCGUAGAGGGGGUAGAUUCCAGGUGUAGCGGUGAAAUG
rnacentral:rRNA from 1 species